GCCCUGGGGCGCCCUGCACGCCGCGCCGCCGGAUGCGGCUACUCCGCGUGCGAAAGCGCCCUUUGCGGGGGGGGGGGGGGUGGCCCUUAAAAAAAACCCUGGGGGGGGGGGGGGGGGGGCAAAACCCAAGCCCGAGGCAGGGCCCCACAGGUGUGCGCUCAGCGGGGUCUCGCCAUCACUUGGUGAGGCUGCAGGGCUCUCCCUCUUACCCAGAAUGUGAGACAGCUGCGAAGUGAACCCGGGUCUGACUCCUGAGCCAUCACCCUGACCCUGGCCAUCACCAGGCAACCUCAGCGGAGUGGCGGCGGCCCCUGCGCCCACUGGCCGUGUCCUCGGGAAUUCACGGCAUCUGAAAGUACUAGGGAAGGGUCGUUUUCUCUUCAAGGGAGAAAACGAAGUCAGCAGCGUCAGGGGAGGGGUUCUUGUGGGGCACUCGUGGAUUCCCACACCUUCCUUCCCCGGGAUGGGAUCUCAUCCACAGGCACCCCCAGAGGCGGUCAGAAUUGGCAGGGCAGCCCCAGCGUACAGGUGAGCGGUUUGAGCUCACCUGCAGAGAAGCCAUGGCCACUGCUGCAGACGGAAGGGGCCAGAGGUCGCCCAGCCACCCUCACAGGAACGCUGCACGUGCCCCAAGAACUUUAUUCAGCCUCGGGAAGGUGCAGUUCCGACACCUGCGCGUCCGGGAUGGGGUGUUCCAAAUGAGCAAGAUCUGGCCUGGGCAGGUGAGUCACGUCACCUCGGGGUGGUGCCAGCCCCAGGGCUGGAGGCGGCCAGGUCACCAGCUGCUUAGCUGGAGGUCUUGCUGCUCCGCUGCCAGUUCGGUGGGAGACAUUCCUGCAGAUGACUCAGCGACUCGGCACCCUCAGCACCGGGGCUUCUGACGGCCCGGCGACCACAGCUGACGCCCGGUGGAGACCCGCAGGCCCAGUCACGGUCUGUCGGUCUGUCGGCCUGUUUGCAGGACGAGGAAGCCGGGCCUCCCGGGGAAGGCAGGCAGGCAGGCGAGGGGAGCGCGUGCAGCAGGAAGAAUGCGA
rnacentral:lncRNA from 1 species